GACGAACGCUGGCGGCGUGCUUAACACAUGCAAGUCGAACGGAAAGGCCCUGCUUUUGUGGGGUGCUCGAGUGGCGAACGGGUGAGUAACACGUGAGUAACCUGCCCUUGACUUUGGGAUAACUUCAGGAAACUGGGGCUAAUACCGGAUAGGAGCUCCUGCUGCAUGGUGGGGGUUGGAAAGUUUCGGCGGUUGGGGAUGGACUCGCGGCUUAUCAGCUUGUUGGUGGGGUAGUGGCUUACCAAGGCUUUGACGGGUAGCCGGCCUGAGAGGGUGACCGGCAACAUUGGGACUGAGAUACAGCCCAGACUCAUACGGGAGGCAGCAGUGGGGAAUAUUGCACAAUGGGCGGAAGCCUGAUGCAGCAACGCCGCGUGCGGGAUGACGGCCUUCGGGUUGUAAACCGCUUUCGCCUGUGACGAAGCGUGAGUGACGGUAAUGGGUAAAGAAGCACCGGCUAACUACGUG
rnacentral:rRNA from 1 species